AGAGUUUGAUCCUGGCUCAGGAUGAACGCUGGCGGCGUGCCUAAUACAUGCAAGUCGAGCGAACGGACGAGAAGCUUGCUUCUCUGAUGUUAGCGGCGGACGGGUGAGUAACACGUGGAUAACCUACCUAUAAGACUGGGAUAACUUCGGGAAACCGGAGCUAAUACCGGAUAAUAUUUUGAACCGCAUGGUUCAAAAGUGAAAGACGGUCUUGCUGUCACUUAUAGAUGGAUCCGCGCUGCAUUAGCUAGUUGGUAAGGUAACGGCUUACCAAGGCAACGAUGCAUAGCCGACCUGAGAGGGUGAUCGGCCACACUGGAACUGAGACACGGUCCAGACUCCUACGGGAGGCAGCAGUAGGGAAUCUUCCGCAAUGGGCGAAAGCCUGACGGAGCAACGCCGCGUGAGUGAUGAAGGUCUUCGGAUCGUAAAACUCUGUUAUUAGGGAAGAACAUAUGUGUAAGUAACUGUGCACAUCUUGACGGUACCUAAUCAGAAAGCCACGGCUAACUACGUGCCAGCAGCCGCGGUAAUACGUAGGUGGCAAGCGUUAUCCGGAAUUAUUGGGCGUAAAGCGCGCGUAGGCGGUUUUUUAAGUCUGAUGUGAAAGCCCACGGCUCAACCGUGGAGGGUCAUUGGAAACUGGAAAACUUGAGUGCAGAAGAGGAAAGUGGAAUUCCAUGUGUAGCGGUGAAAUGCGCAGAGAUAUGGAGGAACACCAGUGGCGAAGGCGACUUUCUGGUCUGUAACUGACGCUGAUGUGCGAAAGCGUGGGGAUCAAACAGGAUUAGAUACCCUGGUAGUCCACGCCGUAAACGAUGAGUGCUAAGUGUUAGGGGGUUUCCGCCCCUUAGUGCUGCAGCUAACGCAUUAAGCACUCCGCCUGGGGAGUACGACCGCAAGGUUGAAACUCAAAGGAAUUGACGGGGACCCGCACAAGCGGUGGAGCAUGUGGUUUAAUUCGAAGCAACGCGAAGAACCUUACCAAAUCUUGACAUCCUUUGACAACUCUAGAGAUAGAGCCUUCCUCUUCGGGGGACAAAGUGACAGGUGGUGCAUGGUUGUCGUCAGCUCGUGUCGUGAGAUGUUGGGUUAAGUCCCGCAACGAGCGCAACCCUUAAGCUUAGUUGCCAUCAUUAAGUUGGGCACUCUAAGUUGACUGCCGGUGACAAACCGGAGGAAGGUGGGGAUGACGUCAAAUCAUCAUGCCCCUUAUGAUUUGGGCUACACACGUGCUACAAUGGACAAUACAAAGGGCAGCGAAACCGCGAGGUCAAGCAAAUCCCAUAAAGUUGUUCUCAGUUC
rnacentral:rRNA from 1 species